UGGUGUCUGCCUCCUCACACCUUGGUGUCUGCCUCUCCCAAAGCUGAAUGCUGGGUAGUGGAAGAUGGCAUUCCCUGACAGUGAAGACCAUUAUUUCAUUAAAGGAAUACAAGUAGCUAUCCUUCCUCCAAAUAAGCUUGCAGGAAUCAGUAAGUGAAGAAUGUUUCUAAGAGCAAAGAGAAAUAUAGCAUUUUCCAUCCAGCUAGUU
rnacentral:sRNA from 1 species